rnacentral:rRNA from 1 species
UACAGAGGUCCCAAGCGUUGUUCGGAUUCACUGGGCGUAAAGGGUGCGUAGGUGGCUUGGUAAGUUCGAUGUGAAAUCUCCGGGCUUAACCCGGAAAUGGCAUUGAAUACUAUUGAGCUGGAGGUUUGGAGGGGGGACUGGGAUUCUCGGUGUAGCAGUGAAAUGCGUAGAUAUCGAGAGGAACACCAGUGGCGAAGGCGGCUUACUGGGUCGCAACUGACGCUCAGACACGACAGCAUGGGGAGCGAACGGG